UACGUAGGGGGCUAGCGUUGUCCGGAAUCAUUGGGCGUAAAGCGCGUGUAGGCGGUCCGGUAAGUCCGCUGUGAAAGUCGGGGGCUCAACCCUCGAAAGCCGGUGGAAACUGUCGGGCUAGAGUGCGGAAGAGGCGAGUGGAAUUCCCGGUGUAGCGGUGAAAUGCGCAGAUAUCGGGAGGAACACCAAUGGCGAAGGCAGCUCGCUGGGACGUUACUGACGCUGAGACGCGAAAGCGUGGGGAGCAAACAGG
rnacentral:rRNA from 1 species